rnacentral:lncRNA from 1 species
AGGUAACUGUCUGCAAGGACCUUCUCAUAAAUUUCGCUCAGAGAGGAGGCCUUCUGUGAAGUUGCCAUUAGACAUUGUCAUUCAUCUGUGGAGACUGAGGGCCAGAUAGUUUCAGCUGUGUCUGGAUUGAAUGGCGCCAGCACUCAUCUUUCCUGACAGUGGCUGAACCAGAGGAGCAUUGACAUUUUUCAUGAUGAUAGCUGGAUAUAAAUACUUGGAUCAUCCUGGAGACUCCACUGUCCAGCCCAGUAUUUCUCUUUAGCCAGUUCCUUCUCCCGCUAUAUUUGGCUGCAGCCCAUUGUGGAAAACUCUGAUGUCGAACUCCUAUGGCUGUAUAAACACCAGAGCUUAGUUCAGGGAGUCCCUCAGAUUGCCAACAAGUAUGAACUGAAUGAUGACACUGUUCAAAAUGCCUUCCUUGCUAUUCUCCUGCAUGACCAAGUAUCCUGGCUUUUUAGAUGCAGCCAUUAAACAUUAAGUUCUGGACGCUGGGAAAUCCAAGAUCAUGACGUUGGCAGGUCUGAUGCCUGGUGAGAGCCCACUUCCUCAUUGACGACUGUCUUCUCACUGUAAUCUCCCAUGGCAGAAGGGGCAAGCCAGCUCUCUGAGGCCUCCUUUAUAAGGGAACCAAUUCCAACUAAUCACCUCUCAAGUGCACAGAUUACUAAGCGCACUUUGGAACCAUGGAGGAAGGUGGCUGAGUGUCUCUGCCACGUGGGAAAGUGAACCACAGGGAUGGCCUUGGGCUGCUGGAACCACUUUGCCCAGACACAGAGGGCUGGAGGUGCCUGGGUGGUUAGCAUUGCUGUUCCUACCCCUAACUCCAGCCAGCGGCGUCACGGAACCAGGACCAGUGACUGACAGAAUAAGGUUAUGGAUUCUUGGGAUGAAGACCACAGAAGGAAAGUGCCAUUGUUCGUUUCUUCACUGUAAAGUUGCUUUUUCUACUCUUUUCCAUACUGUGUCCUUUGGAAGGAAGUCACUGUGUACAGUCCAUACUUACGGAGUGGGGAGGCUUUUCUGGGAAUCUGAUUUCAUGGAGCCUGCUAUUUGACACCACUUCCUCGAUGUUAAGCCCGAUUUGGAUUCCUCCACCUUGAAGACUCUCUUCACUAAGAAACUGAUGUAGGAACUGUUCUUGGAGAAAGAGGCUGGUAUGAUGAGAGAAUCAAGAGUCAGAUGAAUCCUCUUCCUAAAGGUCCUCCAACUAUGAAGUAGUGAACUGGGGGCUGAAACCCGCCUCUCUCACUCUCAGUUGGUGCUCUUCGGUUGUGAACUUAAGAGGCUGCUAUGGUUUAGAAGAAAGAACUCAGGUGGCCAUUUGUUGAUUUUUAUCACUGAAAUAUGGAACUUCUUCCAGACUUACCUUCCUCAUUCCUACAAUAUUGGAUAAUAAUAUUCUCCUCACACAGCUGUCUCAAGUAUUGAAGAAGAUUGUGGAUAUAAAGUACUUUUAGAACGCCAUGUUCGUGGGAGUUGUCAAACAUAAGCGAAUUAUACCAAGACAGUGGAAGGAGAACUGAGAGAAACGAUAACUGACAAGGUAAGCUGAUUUAAAUAUUUAUUGAUUUCAUUUCAACAAAUAAUGAUUAUUGUGAUAUUACUUGCAGUCAUUUGGUGCAUGUGUAAGAGGAGGAGGCGGGGCAGUUUUGCUUAACAGUCUGUUUUGCCCCUUUAUCUUUUAUCAGGCAAGUUCUGUCUUCCAUCAACUCCUUGUAACUCGGUUUAAGUCUCUUUCUUCUAAGAACAGAGGGAUCCCCUAGGAAGUAGACAUAUAAAUGAGAAUUGAUUUUAAGUUUCAGAUGUUUACCUUGUUUCUGAGUAAGGGAGUGCUUGCCCUUCAACUUUCAGUCUAUUCAAAAUCCCUAUAUGCAGCCAAUAUUAAGUGUUUCCUGUAUACCACUUGAUGAGCACUGGGAAUAGAGGGGUGAAUAUUAUGGAGACGUUCCUUGUGCCUGUAUAGCAUGCAUUCGAAUGUCAGAAACUAGGUAAUACAUGCAUAGAGAUGUUGCAUCGUAAUGAAAGAAAAUGUGUACUGAUAUUUAACUGUUUUAAAUUGAGUGAUCUUGGGAGUUCCCUGAUGGCCUAGUGGUUAAGGGCUUGGUGUUGUCACUGUUGGGCAACUGUUGUCACUGUUGGGGCUUGGGUUUGAUCCUUGGCCUUGGAACAUCACAUGAUGUGGGCAUGGCCAAAAAAUAAAAAUAAAGAGAGAAAGAAAGAAAAAAAGAGGUCUUGGAGGCUCUUUCUGAAGGAGAAUAUUGAUGUUGAGACACAAAUGACAAGUAAGAGGCAGUAUGAAUGGUUGAGAGGACAGAAUGUUCUAGUUGAACUGAGAAGCAAGUGCAAAAGCCCUGAGGUGGGAGCAUACCUUAUGAUCAAGGUAAGCAAGGAAUGGUUGAGUAAUUUUAGAGAAAAGCCUAAAUGCUAUUUCAUUUGACAUUUUAAAAAUUAUAUUGGGUCUAAAUUUAUGCUCUUAAAUGGUUCCAGAGUGCUUGGAAAUUGAAAGUUCAUUAAUGAAAAUUCUCAUUGGAUUAGGACUUUGGAAAUGGGUUAUUGCUUAAACAUAUUUCAAAUGAUUAUGGUGAAAAAUUACAUUUCACAAAUUGGUUAAGAAUUUUAGUAACAAUCAAGCCACUUCUGUUGAGUGAAAACCUACUAGGUGCUGUGUGUACUGUGAACAGGCUCUAUGAGAAAAUAUGAGUUAACAUAAGAUAGAACUUUUAACCUGAAGAUGAGCAGAGUUGAGAUGCUGGGAAGAUGUGUAAGCCCACAAAAAGAUGACUAACGACACAAAUUCAUAACAAGUUCAAAUAAAUCAUGACAUACUAACAAGGAAAGCAAGGGUGCUUACACCUCACAGUGCACAGGGUGGCUUCUUGAAGGAAAUGAAAUUGGAACUGGGAGGAAGAAUUAAGUGGCCAGAGCCUGGCAGAGUUUGUGGUAAUGAGCAGAAGUGAUGGGAAGCAGUGACAUAUCAAAGACUUAUGUCUUUCUUCCUUUUCUUCAUACCAUGAAGCUGAAUAAAAGUUUCACAAUUUGAUUUUUGCUUUUGGCACGAUUGAAAUACAUACCUAAAUCAUUAAGAAACUGUGUGAUCUCUUUCUAUGUUAUUUUACAACAAGGCUUCCUGUCCUACUAGACAGCAGCUCUAUGAAGAAAACUCUAGUCCCCCCGGUGUUAGUUUUUUAUUUUGAUGAAAUACAGAAUUUUAUUUUGAUGGUGCUUCACUAUUACAAAGAGAUGAAACAAAUAGAACUUCAUUCCAUAUUGACAAAUAAGAGGAAUAUUAUAGAAUGAUUCCCAUUGCUGCUAUCUACCCCAUUUUUUCUAUGAUGAAGUAGAUGACUUGGGGUUGCUGGGCCCCAAGUAUCCCAGCUCCCUUUACAGCAUCUUAAAUAGUGCUCCUUGAAUGUCAAUCAAAGGUAUAUCCAAAGUUACUGGACAUGUCUCUGUGGGACCUUCCUGAUCCUGAAAAAGGCCUCAAAGCAAAGAAAUACAGCUAAGUGAGCUGUUCAUGCAGUGGUAUAAAUGGAUUCUUGGCAAUUCAUUGGCUUUCUCUGGUCAUUGAGUCAGAGCCACACUGUUUGUUGAGGGUCGGUUUAGUAACUUCUACCUUUCAUCAUCUCCUUGGUAUUUCUCUGUAUUGGGGGCAAGCUGCUACAGACUGUCUGAGUUUGACCUCUCCUGAAAGGAUGAAUGCCUUGAUUUGUAUGCAUGUAUUUCUGUCAGAUGCUUUAAAUGAAGUCAUUAACCAAAAUGCAUUUCCAGAGUUCGGGUCAUUGAGUUGAGAAUCAAAUGAAAUACAUUUCUGGGUGAUGGAACAGUAAGGAUGAGAAGAGAACUAGAGCAGUGUGGUGUGCACAUAUGUAGCUACUGUCUUUGAUGCAGCACACAUAACUGACCCAAGAAAGCUAGUGCCCAGGUCACAGCUGCAGAGACACUCUUAAGAACCAUCAGUGACUUCACAAUGCCAUUACACCGGGUGUGAGGUGGUUCCUGGCAUUCAGCUUCCUGUUCUUCCAUCAAAAGGAAGACCUUUUCUGGCCAACAGGCUAGUCAGACUCCUCUAGCUUGCUAUACCUUGGUGCUAAGAGGUUCUGAUGAGGCAGUAUAGUCCUCACUCCUUUGUGUAAUAAGGUAAGGUUAAGGAAGAAAAAAGAAUUCAUAAGUGAAAAAUCGUUUUGUUUUUGUAAAGGGCCACAUGAAUGGUACAGAUCCAUCUUUCUCCCUGGGGCAGUGGACUCAGAUAACAGAUUUAACUAUAGCUACAUCUCUAUAUCUCCAAGUGACCUUGGACAAGUUCUUUGACUUGUCUAAACCUCUUUUAGUAUUUUGCUUUUUUUUUUUUUUUUUUUUUUUUUUUUUGCUUUUUAGGGCUGCAAUAGCAGCAAAUGGAAGUUCCCAGGCUAGGGGUGAAAUCCGAGCUAUAGCUGCCGGCCUACACCACAGCCACAGCAACGCCAGAUCCGAGCCACAUCUGUUACCUACACAACAGCUCAUGGCAAUACUGGAUCCUUAACCCAUAGAGUGGGGCCAAGGAUUGAACCCAUAUCCUCAAGAACCCUAGUUGGGUUCAUUAUCGCUGAGUCACAAUGGGUACUCCCUCAUUUAAUGAGUAUUGAUUGCAUAACCACUACGAAUCUGAUAUUGUUCUAGGAACUAGGGAUAAAGCAAAAAAUAGUCUCCAGCUUUCAUGGAACUUGCAAGGGUAUAGUAAACAAUAAACAGGCAAAGGCUUAGUAUGCCAGGUGGUUGAUAAAGGCCUUGGAGAAGAAGGAAGCAAGGCAGAUAAGGUAGGAAUUUCGGGGGGAAUGUGGGUUUUAUGGGGAAUGUUGAGAUUUUGUUAUCAGGAGAGCUGCAUUGAUAAUUAAGGGCUUUGAAGGAAUUAGGACCAGGUAGAUAUGUAUUAAAAGUUCAUUACAGGCAAAGAACACAGCAAGUGCAAAGGCGUGGAGGUGGUAUUGUAUGUGGAAUUCUGGAGAAAUAGAAGGAAGCCAGUAGGGCUGGCACAGAGAGAGAGAAAUAGGGAUACUGGUAGGAGAUGAAGUCAGUUAGUCCUGAGGCCAAGUUAGGGAGGUAGCCCUUUGCAUACUUAAACCUGCAUGGGAAUCCCUGGGGGCUGUUGUUGAAAUGUGGAUUCAGAUUCAGUAGGUCUGGAACGAGGCCUGGGCUUCUAGAUUUUGAACCUCUUCCAGGCAGACCACACUCUGAGUGGACUAGGUGUGGGGCUAUGUAAGCUAUUGUAAAUAAAGAUGUUAGCAUUGGCCCUGAGUGAGAUGGGGGGGGGCAUGGGAAUGUUUUGAGUGCCUCUUCAAGGCAUGGUUCUGGCUGUCACGAUAAUGAGGUGUCCAACGCCCUGACUGAUUUUGCACAUUGUCUGGGUUUUAGUCCUAGUGUCACCACUCACUCACUGCCUGUCUUUGGUAAGUUGCUUAAACUUCUUUUUCUCUCAACUUUUUGUUUUGAAAAAUGCUAAACCUAGAGAAAAGGUGAAAGAAAAGUACAAUUAAUGCUUUAUAUCCUUCACCUAGAUUGAUCAACUAUUAAUAUUUUUCUCUAUUUGCUUAUCUCAUACUCUUAAGUACAUAUUAUCUCAUUAUUAUUAACCAUUUAAGAGUCAGUUUUUGACAUAAUGACCCUUCAACCCUAACUAGUUCAUUAUGUAAGAAAAAUCUCCUAUAUAAAUACAAUGAACAGUCACAUUCAGAACAUUUGAUGUUGAUACAAUCAUCUAAUAUAAAAAUCUCAAUUUAAAUACAACCAAUUUCCUUCCCAAAUAUCCUUUAUAACAAUUUCCUUUUUCUGAUGUUGAAUCCAAUCCAGGAUAUUAUAUUGGAUGUUAUAUUGCUUUAGUUUUCACGUCUCAUUAGUCUUUUAACCUAGAACUGAAUUGCUUUACCUCGGCCUUUUUAAAAAAUGUAAAAAAAAUUUUUUUGAUGUUUUGUGCCAUUGUUAUUUUUGAAAAGUCUGCACCAGAGUUCUCUGGCAGCCUAGCAGUUAAGGAUCCAGCAUUGUUACUUCUGUCACUCAGGUCACUGCUGUGGUGUGAGUUCGAACCUUGGUCCGGGAACUUCCACAUGCCUGGGCAUGCCCCUUCUCCCUCCAAAAAAACCCUGGCUGGGCCAGUUGUUUUAUAGAAUGUCACCCAAUUUAGAUUAAAGGUUUGUAAUGAUUUAAUUCAGGUAUGCAUGAUUAGCAAAAGUACCAUGUAAGUGAUGUGUGCCUUGCUCUGUGCAAGCAUCCAGAGGCAUUUGAUGUCAGUUUGCUUCAUUUUAGUGAUGUUAACUUGGGUCACUUGCAUAAAGUGUUACAGCAGAUUUCUUCACUGUAUAGGUACCCAUUUUCCUUUGUAGUUAACAAGCUACCUGUAGAGAAAUACUACAUAAGUAGCCUUUCCCUCAACAAACUCUCAUCCAGUGGUUUUCCACCCAUGAAUAAUUCUCAUCUGAAAAAAUUAUUGCUUUAGAGGUUGCAAAAUGGUUAUUUUGCUAACUGUCAUUACUUGUUUUAUUAUUUGGCUAUGUAAAAGAGCUUUUUUAUUAUUUUGAUUUGUUCUAUUUGACCUUUUGACUUUAGUUUUAUUAUUCUGCCAUCUAGAAGAGCUUUCUCUUUAGCCUGUGUGUGUGUAUAUGCACGUAUGUAUCCAUCUGUGUAUCCAUGUCUGUAUCUAUCUACCUAUUCCUUGUCUUGAUAUGAACUUAUGGGUUCUUUAUUUAACAAUUCAGUUGUGCUAUAAACCAUUGCUGACAUCAUUAUUUUGAUGCCCAAAUUGUCCUUGUUUUGCCAGGAGGAGCAUCUUCAAUCUGGUUCCCAUGUUCUUUUCAGGUUUGAGUGCUUCCUCAAUUUCUUGCCCCACAAAAUAUUCUAGGUUCACUUUGUACUUGACCUUCCCCAACCCUGGACAGCCAUUUUUCCCAAAACCCUGGUUCCCUUUGUGCAGACUUGUUUAUAAGUACCAAUUUUAAAAAAAUUAAAAUAGAACUACCAUAGAAAUUAUGAAAUUAGAUGGCAAUAUAACUUGCAGAGUUAUUUUGAGGGUUAAAUGAGAAAAUUUGUGUAAAAGACUUUACAUUAUUUAUUUCAGCCAUUUCCAAGGCAGUAUAAAUCAAUGGAAACAUGGCUGAGAAUGACAGUAGAUGGAUUUAGAAAAUGUAAAUUAUGAUAUCCUCUGGGGGAACACAAAAGGUUAACAGAUUUACAUAACAGGUCCAUAAAUAUCUACUUUGCCUCCCAAUGUAUAGAAGAUAAACAGUUUGCCAUCACACAUGGCAUUUUAGCAUAAAGAGUUACCAAUCUGAUUCUCAAGUCCUUAUGCAAAUAAUACAGAAAAAAAUCAUACUCUCAAACAAAUUCUUAGUUUUGAUGAUGUGGGAAGAGAUUUUACAUAAGACUUUAAAUCCUAAAGCAUUUCAUUUAGAACUGUUUGCAAAAAGUUCUUUAAGGAGGAGGACUUCAUGUGGGGAGAGAUUGGUCCCAUUUAGACCCAGGCAUAGAAUCAAGUGGCAUGAGAACGUAAUACUAGUCUUACUAUGAAGAGGAGUUCUCAUUGCUUCAUCCAUCAUUUUUAAUUUUUCUGACUGUGAACCAUCAUACUUAGAAGGUUGGUCUUCAUAUGUGUUAACAUUUUCUUAGAAAUACUUUUUCUUUAUUAUGCAAUUAAUAGAUGUUCCUUGUAGACACAUUAGAAAA